GGGGCUGUAGCUCAGUGGUAGAGCGCCUGUCUCACACAUAUGAGGCACUGGGUUCAGUCCUCAGCACCA
rnacentral:tRNA from 1 species